GACGUAGGAGGCGAGCGUUGUCCGGAUUCAUUGGGCGUAAAGGGUGCGUAGGCGGCGCGGUAAGUCGGGUGUGAAAUCUCGGAGCUUAACUCCGAAACUGCAUUCGAUACUGCCGUGCUUGAGGACUGGAGAGGAGACUGGAAUUUAUGGUGUAGCAGUGAAAUGCGUAGAGAUCAUGAGGAAGACCAGUGGCGAAGGCGGGUCUCUGGACAGUUCCUGACACUGAGACACGAAGGCCAGGGGAGCAAACGGG
rnacentral:rRNA from 1 species